GGGGGCACUAUCCGAAUUUUACCAGCCAGGGUUCCACAUUCCUGGGUUCUUUACUUGGUUCUCAUCUGAGGGAAAAUGGAUUUCUAAGGAGUGAGUGGGGACAGGAGAGAAGGAGAGAAACCUUCCAUAUUUAAUAGCCUGAAAAGUCUGGAUUUAAGGAUCUUCCUGCUGGGCUGAAACAGAAACCAGAGACAGAAAGCCUGAGGUAAAGAUGGACACACAGGGAAACUGAGGCAGGGACAGAGAAAAUGAGGCAGAAACAGAGAAGCAGGAUUACUAAGAGAGUGCCUAACAUAGGCCAUCACACAUUGUAAGAGUUUAACAAAUAUUUAUCAAAUCAGAGAGAGAGAGAGAGAAACUGAGGCAGAGACACAGAAACAUAAAACCAGUGAAAGACAGAGACUAAGAAAAAUUGAGAGACAAAGACAGAGAAACAGAAGCAGAAAACUGACUCCCCCUCCCCUCUCAGCACAGCUAGACAGGAAGGGACUAUUUAUAACUCUCCCUACCAACCCCUAUCCCAGCUAGGAGGCCCGGAAACGACCCCCAUUAGCCUGUGGGACUUACCCCUCCCUGCCCAGGCUGGGGGCCCUAAGGUGGGGAACCUCCCUGCCCAGGCCCUAUGAACAUUGAGCUCCGAUGUCCAUGGACAGCCUCAGACCCCUCCUCCUCUUCCAUACCUAUUGACCCAGCUACCUUGUGGUUUCUUUCCUCAUAGACCCGGGAGGACAGCCCCAACCCCACAGGAAACACAUCUAAGGUUCCCGGGCCCAAUUCCAUGUGUCUGCUUGGUUAGCAGCCCUUCUCCUGGAAUUUGCACCUCAGUUUCCCUAUGACCCACAGUAUUCCAUCUACAGGCAGAGACAACAAGGGGCUAGCUAGGCGUGAGUGCUUAUUCCCAUCCUCCUCUCCUCUCCCCCUACCCUCUCGAGCUGCGUCAGGCUUCCCCACCCCAAGUCCUGGCCCUCUGCACUCCCUGACUGACCCCUGACCCCUGUCCAGAGCGAGCACUCCGGAGCCUGAAGGGGUUAACCCCCACGUGCUUCUCCGUCCCCAGCCCUCCUCCCCUUCUCCUCCCGGCUCCCUCUCUGUCUGUCUCUGUGUCUGUCUCUCCAACACUUUCAGUCACAUCCGCCUGCGGGGGCACGGCUCCCCCAGCUCAUACAUCCCCAGCCUGUGCAGAUCUUUCUGAUUUCCGCAGGAUCUCUCCGUCUGCCCUGGCCAGGCUCUCCGGAUCCCCUGCUCCAGGGGUAUCCUUGAAGGGGACGCCAGUGUGCCAGGCAGAAGCCAUCCUACAGCCACACAUCUUUUGCAAGUUUUGCCAGGGAAUGGGG
rnacentral:lncRNA from 1 species